CCUACGGGUGGCAGCAGUGGGGAAUAUUGGGCAAUGGGCGCAAGCCUGACCCAGCGACGCCGCGUGAGUGAAGAAGUAUCUCGGUACGUAAAGCUCUAUCAUCAGAGAAGAAAAUGACGGUACCUGACGAAGAAGCACCGGCUAACUACGUGCCAGCAGCCGCGGUAAUACGUAGGGGGCAAGCGUUAUCCGGAUUUACUGGGUGUAAAGAGAGCGUAGACGGUAGGACAAGUCUGGAGUGAAAUCCCAUGGCUUAACCAUGGAACUGCUUUGGAAACUGUUCGGCUGGAGUGCAGGAGGGGUAAGCGGAAUUCCUAGUGUAGGGGUAAAAUCCGUAGAGAUUAGGAGGAAUA
rnacentral:rRNA from 1 species